AGCCACCCUGCAGGAGAGAAGGUUGUUAUUAAAACUGUGCAGUUUUUCUUAGUGAAAAUUCAUUUGGGGAGGUGGGUGGGAGGCAAAGGAUGUGUGUUCUCAUCUAAGAAUUCCUCAGAUAUUUUCCUUAAAUUAUUUUAAUUCUUCCUGGGCAGCAUUUCCUGUCAGGAAAUUACAUUUAGCUCGUUUUUCCCAGAGCCAACUUUGAUCCUUGUAGUGACCAUGGUGUUUAAUUUGAUUGAAUUUAAUCCCUGAUUUUUUUGUUGUUUUUUUUUCCUGUUUAAGUAAGUGGGCCAAAAGUAGCUGAUGGAAGAUCCUGUUGGAUCCAUGGGAUGAGUUGUGUGUGUGCUGGUAUUUACAACAUCUGGGCUGCAAACCCCCCCUGUUCUCCAGCCUUGUCUUCUUGUCUAACAGGAGAGAUCCCAGGCCAGGAGCUGGAAGUAAACUUGAUAAAAGUAGCUCUGGGAGGACUUAAAAGGAAAAGCUGAAUUCCAUCGAGCCUCAGGAAUCUCUGGAGGAUGCAGGUCACCUUUUAAAGUGACCUCUAAGUGUUGGGUUUGGUCCUGGCAAAUCAUCUCGGGUCUGGGCAGUGCUUUGAAAGGUGGAGAAUUCCUCUCUUGGAAUCUAAAAUCUGCAAAGUGCUGGGAGAUGCUGCUGCACAUAAAAACCCUGAUCCCCAGUGUGGUGUGGGUGGGUGUGGGGCAGAUCUGCUGCUGUGAAAUGCAGUUCCUCUGGAGACAUCCAUGAUUUACACAAACAGCAAAUCUGGCCCAAAUCUGGGAUUCUUGAAGCCAGGAAGGGACACAAUGCAGUCCCUGAGAUCCUGGGCUCGGGCACACGGAGGGAAAGGGUGCUGGUAGAACUCUGGGGUCUGUGCUGGAGGGAGGCACUGGCAUUUCCCCAGCUGCAGGAAGGUUUUAUAAAGCAGAGGAGAAGCUGCUUGUGCCCAGUUUCGGUUUCUGUUGGCUCCUGCUGGCCCAGGGACCGUCCCUGUGCUGGGAGAGCUCAGCUGCACAGGAGCCACCCCUCGGUGCUGCUCUGGGGACUCUCCCAUGACCCUGGGGCUCUUGUGGAGUGCUUCAUUCCCAGGGCUGACAUCUCUCUGCUGCCUGGAAGUCUCAGGGAUUUGGAGAGGAGAAGGGACGCUGACGUAGUUAUUUGUGAGAGGAACAGGACAGAGUGGUCCAGCUGAACUCUGAUUUAUUGCAGUUCUUAAAAUAUCCUUCAGGAUAUUUGUUAAUUUAUUUAUUUAUUUCAGUUUUCCUGGUUUGGGGGUUUUUUUUUUGGUGCUGAGUGGGAUUUAGGUGCAGUGGGAUUUGCCAGCAUUGCCUCACUGGCAGCACAGCCAUCAACUUCCAUCACACCCCAAACUUUCAAAGCAAGUCCAGUCUCUGUGCCCCCAGGACAAUAAAUGACUCCUGCUGCAGAAAGCUGAUCUGGGAGCUUGUGGUGUUCAAACCCCAGCAAAGCAGCAGUUUUGUAAGGAAUGCUGGUGAAUCCCAGGCACCAAUGUAAUCCAGACUAAACAUUCCCAGCACUGCUGGUGCUGCCGGCUGGGUCAGGCUCUUUAAAUGGUGCUGCUGAUCUUGAAUCACAAGUUUUAUUUAUCCCUGAUGCCCUGAGGAGCAAAAUUCAAUGGGAAGGUGAAGAUAAAAAUGUAGAAAAUGUCUGAAUACAUGUGCCAGCAGAGCUUUUGGGUGACUCCAUCCUCUCCCCUUUCACCACCCAAAUUUCUUGGGACUGAAAUUCAUGCUCUGGGGGCUGGAAUCUCUUCUAGAAUUUGUGUUACAAGCUUUGGUUCAGCUCUUUUGCACUUUUGAGUCAGUGAUUUGUACUGCUUGUGGAAAUAAACCAUGCCCUUCUCUCCUCAGCUUGCUCUUGGCUGCCAAAAUAAUGUUUAUUUUGGUUUGGGUUGGGUUUUUUCAGCGUGGCAGCAUCCAGAGGUGCCAGUGGAUGGGGGGCUCUGAAGGAAACUCCAAACUUCCCCUUUGGGUCCUGCCAAGCUGCCCCUGGAUUUCAGGGCUUUCAGCUGAACAGAUUUGCAGCACAAGAGAUGAUUGGAUUCUUUUUCUGGGGAAUUUCCUCUGCAGCUGCAGCUUUGGAAGGACUUUGCCCCUGUAGGUCUGAUCCAGCCUGGAACCUGUUUGCCUCCUUAAGGCAGGCAUGGAAAUUACUGAGAUGGGAGAUGCUUUUCCUGCCUUCCAGCUGCCCACACUUUGGGGAAGGAGUUUUAAACUCUGAAUGCCUUCCAGAAAGAAAUGCCAAAUUAUAAAUGGUGCUU